GCCGGGCACGGUGGCUCAUGCCUGUAAUCCCAGCACUUUAGGAGGCUGAGGCAGGUGGAUCACCUGAGGUCGGGAGUUCCAGACCAGCCUGACCAACAUGGUGAAACCCCGUCUCUA
rnacentral:sRNA from 1 species